CUGACGAGCACGCCGCGUGAGUGAGAGGUUUUCGGAUCGUAAAGCUCUGUUGUAAGAGAAGAACGAGUGUGAGAGUGGAAAGUUCACACUGUGACGGUAUCUUACCAGAAAGGGACGGCUAACUACGUGCCAGCAGCCGCGGUAAUACGUAGGUCCCGAGCGUUGUCCGGAUUUAUUGGGCGUAAAGCGAGCGCAGGCGGUUAGAUAAGUCUGAAGUUAAAGGCUGUGGCUUAACCAUAGUAUGCUUUGGAAACUGUUUAACUUGAGUGCAAGAGGGGAGAGUGGAAUUCCAUGUGUAGCGGUGAAAUGCGUAGAUAUAUGGAGGAACACCGGUGGCGAAAGCGGCUCUCUGGCUUGUAACUGACGCUGAGGCUCGAAAGCGUGGGGAGCAAACA
rnacentral:rRNA from 1 species